AAUCUUCCACAAUGGACGAAAGUCUGAUGGAGCAACGCCGCGUGAGCGAAGAAGGUUUUCGGAUCGUAAAGCUCUGUUGUAAGGGAAGAACACGUACGGGAGUUACUACUCGUACCUUUACGGUACCUUAUCAGAAAGCCACGGCCAACUAGGUUCCAGCAGCCGAGGUAAGACGUAGGUGGCAAGGGUGGACCGGAAUUAUUGGGCGUAAAGCGAGCGCAGGCGGUCCGUUAAGUCUGAUGUGAAAGCCCACCGCUCAACCGUAGAGGGUCAUUGGAAACUGGAGGACUUGAGUACAGAAGAGGAAAGCGGAAUUCCACGUGUAGCGGUGAAAUGCGUAGAGAUGUGGAGGAACACCAGUGGCGAAGGCGGCUUUCUGGUCUGUAACUGACGCUGAGGCGCGAAAGCGUGGGGAGCAAACA
rnacentral:rRNA from 1 species